UACACUUUAUUUUAAUAAUAAUUCUUUGUUUUGGUCAAUGAGGUUUUGUGUGC
rnacentral:tRNA from 1 species